GAUGAACGCUAGCUACAUGCUUAACACAUGCAAGUCGCGGGGCAGCAUGGGGGUGGCUUGCAACCCCUGAUGGCGACCGGCGUACGGGUGAGUAACGUGUAUCGAACCUGCCCUUCACCACGGGAUAACCCGGCGAAAGUCGGACGAAUACCGUAGGUGGUCCAUUGACGGCAUCCGAUUAUGACGAACGGCGUGGCUGUGGAGGGGUGGGGAUGGGUUCGAUUAGCUUGUCGGCGGGGUACCUGCCCACCGGUGGUACGAUCGGUAGGGUGUGUGAGAGGAAGGUCACCCAGACUGGAACUGAGACACCGUACAGACUCCUAAGGGAGGAAGCAGUGAGGAAUAUUGGUCAAUGGGAGUAAGCCUGAACCAGCCAAGUAGCGUGCAGGAUGACGGCGGUAUGGGUAGUAAACUGCUUUGAUGCGGGGAUAAAGUGGCCAACGUGUGGGGUUUUGCAGGUAACGCAUGAAUAAGGACCGGCUAAAUCCGUG
rnacentral:rRNA from 1 species